rnacentral:rRNA from 1 species
UUUUAUUUGAGAGUUUGAUCCUGGCUCAGGAUGAACGCUGGCGGCGUGCCUAACACAUGCAAGUUGAGCGAUUUACUUCGGUAAAGAGCGGCGGACGGGUGAGUAACGCGUGGGUAACCUACCCUGUACACACGGAUAACAUACCGAAAGGUAUGCUAAUACGGGAUAAUAUAUUUGAGAGGCAUCUCUUGAAUAUCAAA